rnacentral:misc_RNA from 1 species
AGCAUAUCAGAUUCUCAUAAACAAACAUAAAAUAAUGAAAUUUCAAUAAACUGUGAACCAUAAAGGUGGCCAGAAAAGAACAAGCUUCUUAUUAUAGCCGCUAAAGAAAAGGUUUGAUAAGUCAAAUACAGAUCCAUAUUGUUUCACCACAGAAAUCUGUAUUUCAAGUCUCAAUGACCUUUUCCCGAUAAAUGUUUUAUUAUAGUUAAUACGGGAAAGGUUACCUUACACAAAAAAAUCAGCAACAUCCAUCAUUCCAGGAAAAUAGAAAAUAACUAACAUAUAUUCAAACUGACAUUAUAGCACUUGAUCUAAUCACUCAUAAUGAUAAAGAUU